UACGUAGGGUGCAAGCGUUAAUCGGAAUUACUGGGCGUAAAGCGUGCGCAGGCGGUUUUGUAAGUCUGUCGUGAAAGCCCCGGGCUCAACCUGGGAAUUGCGAUGGAGACUGCAAGGCUUGAAUCUGGCAGAGGGGGGUAGAAUUCCACGUGUAGCAGUGAAAUGCGUAGAGAUGUGGAGGAACACCGAUGGCGAAGGCAGCCCCCUGGGUCAAGAUUGACGCUCAUGCACAAAAGCGUGGGGAGCAAACAGG
rnacentral:rRNA from 1 species